ensembl:snoRNA LOC120099483 small nucleolar RNA SNORA48
UCCCUCUGACAAUGGGCAAAGAGAUACCUUGUGGAUGGUAUUGUUCUUAUAACUGUCAGAGUUAGAGAAGGUGACAGUCAGUUGUUUAUCUUAGCAUGAUGCCUGGCUUGAUGGGUAAAGCUGUUUUAUGUCCAGGACUCAGAA